CUUAGAAGAAUGAGGAUCACGGGUCCCCUAGUCACGUGCCGGUGAUCUCCUACUUUCCUUUUAAGGGGGACGCAGUCCCAAGAAUUUGACUUCACGAGUUCCUUCGCUUGUUCUUAGUUCUGCCCCAGCGUGUGCGCAUCUGCAUCUCUCUCCAUUGCUUUGCAAUGGAAAAUCCAUCGAGACCGGUCACAGGCUACCCCGUCCCCCCGGCGCAAUCCACCGCCAAUACCAAUGGUUAUGCCGCCGCGCAACAUAGCUGCUCCGCAGCCCCAACAGGCGCCGCUUACCCUUACCCUGCGCCGCCCUCCCAGUACAACUACUACGCCGCCAACAUGCACCCCUACCCGCAGUAUUACGCCCCACGCGCCACCUUCUUCCGCCGCUUUCUCGCCGCGAUGAUCGCCGUCUUCGUCAUCAUCGGCACCAUCGUCCUCAUCAUCUGGCUCGUCCUCCGCCCCCGCCUCCCCGAGUUCCGAGUCGACUCGAUCUCCGCCACCGGCUUCAACUUCUCCGUUUCCCAGGUCACCGGAAAAUGGGACGUUGCCUUCACCGUUACAAACCCUAACAAGAAGAUAAGCAUCUCGUACGACAACGUCGAAUCUUUGUUCUCCUACCGAUUAACGCUUCUCGCGGUGACCGCUGUCCCGCCGUUCGGUCAGGGCACCAGGGUUCAGACAGCCUUUAACGCCUCUUUCGCGGCGCAAUCGGUUUACGUUAAUGAGCGUGAUGCGAACGCCAUGAGCGCUGAUCGGAGGGGUGGGUCUGUGAGCUUUAAUGUGAGGGUUCUAUCUAGGGUUUGGUUCAAAACCGGGGCUUGGCGACCCCGAAGGCGGCUGCUGAGGGUUUGGUGCGAAGGCUUGUCAGUCGGAUUUUCAUCAAAUGGUGGUGCCGGAAAAUUGGUCGGUGGACCAAGGGAAUGCGGGGUUGGCCUGUGACGAAUUUAGAACCUCAAAGUUGCUUGACAAUGUUCCUUUUAGGAUUCUGGAGGUGAGGGAUGCACUAUGUACUUGAUCGGAAUAUUAGAUGGUCAUAAGAUCCCUGAUAUUAAGCAUAUUGUAAUGAUCUUGGGAUUACAUUCAUUGUUCGAGGGUGUCCUAUAGUUCUUUGAUCAAACUCUGGUACAUACCCCAAAGAUCACGGUUAGAGCAAGCACGAAUUAAGGGCAUGGGACAUGGGUACGACAUGUCUCAAAUGAGGGGAUCUAUUGUUAUAGGAUUCAUGGUCUAAUUGACAGUUAUAUAAUCUUAAAUUUAUUAUGUAUAGCUGACUAAGUUUUUAUUAUUUAUAAAAGUUUUUAUUAUUUGUAUAAUACUCUACAAAAUUCCAAUAUAAAUGCUCAUGCAUCUUCCUAUUUCUUUUUCA